rnacentral:tRNA from 1 species
GGGGAUAUAGCUCAGUUCGUAGAGUGCUGCCUUCGUAAGGCAGAUGUCAGCGGUUUCAGUCCGCUUAUCUCCA